rnacentral:rRNA from 1 species
UACGUAGGGUGCGAGCGUUGUCCGGAAUUAUUGGGCGUAAAGGGCUCGUAGGCGGUCUGUUGCGUCAGGAGUGAAAACUCGGGGCUUACCCCGAGCCUGCUUCUGAUACGGGCAGACUAGAGGUAUGCAGGGGAGAACGGAAUUCCUGGUGUAGCGGUGAAAUGCGCAGAUAUCAGGAGGAACACCGGUGCGAAGGCGGCUACCUGGACCGGUUCUGACGCUGAUGCGCGAAAGCGUGGGUAGCAAACAGG